AUUGAACGCUGGCGGCAGGCUUAACACAUGCAAGUCGAGCGGAGACUUCGGUCUUAGCGGCGAACGGGUGAGUAAUACCUAGGAAUCUGCCUAUUAGUGGGGGAUAACGAAUCGAAAGGUUCGCUAAUACCGCAUACGUCCUACGGGAGAAAGAGGGGGAUCUUCGGACCUCUUGCUAAUAGAUGAGCCUAGGCCGGAUUAGCUAGUUGGUAGGGUAAAGGCCUACCAAGGCGACGAUCUGUAGCUGGUCUGAGAGGAUGGCCAGCCACACUGGAACUGAGACACGGUCCAGACUCCUACGGGAGGCAGCAGUGGGGAAUAUUGGACAAUGGGGGCAACCCUGAUCCAGCCAUGCCGCGUGUGUGAGAAGG
rnacentral:rRNA from 1 species